CAAAGGUGAGCCAGUACAGGAUGGACCCGCGUCUGAUUAGCUAGUUGGUAAGGUAACGGCUUACCAAGGCGACGAUCAGUAGCCGACCUGAGAGGGUGAUCGGCCACAUUGGAACUGAGACACGGUCCAAACUCCUACGGGAGGCAGCAGUGGGGAAUAUUGCACAAUGGGCGAAAGCCUGAUGCAGCAACGCCGCGUGAGUGAUGAAGGCCUUCGGGUCGUAAAACUCUGUCCUCAAGGAAGAUAAUGACGGUACUUGAGGAGGAAGCCCCGGCUAACUACGUGCCAGCAGCCGCGGUAAUACGUAGGGGGCUAGCGUUAUCCGGAUUUACUGGGCGUAAAGGGUGCGUAGGCGGUCUUUCAAGUCAGGAGUGAAAGGCUACGGCUCAACCGUAGUAAGCUCUUGAAACUGGGAGACUUGAGUGCAGGAGAGGAGAGUGGAAUUCCUAGUGUAGCGGUGAAAUGCGUAGAUAUUAGGAGGAACACCAGUUGCGAAGGCGGCUCUCUGGACUGUAACUGACGCUGAAGCACGAAAGCGUGGGGAGCAAACAGGAUUAGAUACCCUGGUAGUCCACGCUGUAAACGAUGAGUACUAGGUGUCGGGGGUUACCCCCUUCG
rnacentral:rRNA from 1 species